CUCUCUCUCUCUCUCUGCCCCUCCCUUGCUUAUGCUUUCUCUUGCUCUCUAAAAUAAAAAAAGAUGGGCAACAAGUGAAAUAUACCUACAGAAAAGAGCAAGGAAUAUACGUUAAAAUAAAUCUAAAGCAACCAUUCAUGUAACCACGACCCAGGUAAGAAGUAGCAUAUUAGCCAGCACCUAAACACCCUACUCCGUGUGUCUCUCCAUGGUCCUAAUUCUUCCUCCUCCAGAAGUAUUUUAUACUCAUUUUUGAGAUAAUUAUUUCUUUAUAAUUUUACCUCCUUCUUCCUACAUUUGUAUCCCAAAUUGCAUAGUUUAUUUUGUGUCUAUUUUUGAACUUGAAUAAGUGGAAUUACCAUUUGUAUUUUUCUGCUUAAUUCUUGUUUUUAGGAUUUUAUUCUCCUUCAUUGUUUUAUUAAUACAAUGCCGUUCUACAGCUAUCCCACAGUUUAUCCAGUCUGCCAAAGGUGGACUUAGCCUGUUCCCGUUCAGGGCUGACAUGAAUGGCGGUGCUGCUCUGACCAUUCUAGUGCACCUGCAUGUGUUUCUCCAGGGUGUAGAUGCCAGAGUGAAACUGCUGGAUGUUUUUCCGCAUUGUCUCCAAUGCUUUGGUAUCACAAGGAAUUUAAUUUUUGCCAGUCUGGUGGGUGUGAAAUGGUAUCCGAUUGUGGCUUUUGAUUUGCAUUUCCCUGAAUACUAAUAAGGUUGAGUGCCUUUUCAUUUAUUAGCCAUUGAGGGAGAGCACAGGAAGGAGAGGCAGAGACACAGAAUCUGAAUCAGGUUCCAGGCUGUGAGCUGUCAGCACAGAGCCCGAUGGCAGGGCUCGAACCCCUGUGAACCGCGAGAUCAUGACCUGAGCUGAAGUCAGACACUUAACUGACUGAGCCACCCAGGCGCCCCUAGAUUUCUACUUUUGUAAAAUGCCUGUUCCAAGUCUUUCACUCAUUUGUCUAUUAGGUUGUCUGUUUCUUAUUUGCUUGAGCGUUUUAUGAGUUUUUAUAUGCAUGUAUAUGUUUGUAUUCUAGAUACUAUUUGUCAUUUAUGUGUGUUGUAAAUAUCUCAUUCUGUGACUUAUCUUCAUUCUUUAUGAUCUGUUUUAAUGAUUAGAAUUCUUAAUGUAGUUAAAUAUGUCUUUCCUCUUAGGGUUAGAGGAAAUCCUAUCUUUCUGUGUCUUAUUUGUAAAUAAGACUACUCUACCUCAAGGUCAUGAGAUUCUCUAUGAUCUUCUAGGAGUUUCUAAAGCUUUGCCUUUCAUAUUUAUUCACCUGGACACCUGGAACUUCUUUUUAGGGUGAUCUAGAGUAGAGAGGUCAAAUUCCUCCCACUACCCCAGCGCCCGGACAUGGCUAGAAAGUUUUAACAUUUCUUCUUUUGCCAUGUAAGGACUACUAUAAACUACUUCAUCUUCUCACUCUCACUUCAUACAAAGACAUCUUAAUAUGCAAACAUGAGAAGAGCAUAGGGUCAGAGUAAAGGAGAAUCCUUUAAACCAAAUAAUUGAGUUGUACUGAUUAAUUUGUCUGUAUUUUUCUCAUUUUGUUACAGGUUCUAUGCACUGGUUUAUGGAGAUGGAUGAAGGAACCUUAUUUUUUUGAAUCUGAAGGGCUGACAUUCCCCAAGUCUAAAAAUCACAUAAGUGUCCAGUGUUUUCCAGAACUGUCCCAGGCAGCCACAAACUCUAAGGACUUUUAACACAUCAGAGACACACUGGCCUCCAGAGACCCAAGAUUUGUUCCUCUUUAGCUACUCGCACUGGGAAGCCCCUCUUAAGAUUAACCCAAGUCCCUCAUACUGCAUUUUAAACGCCAGCUGCUCCCCAUCAAAUAUUUAAGGGCCUACUAUGUACACACGUGGUGCCUGGCCCUUUGGAGCCCGCUGUUCAGCAGGGACAGGUGAGCAGUUAUCACAGAGGGCAAAAAGGGCCAGGUCAAAGGCCAGGAUGCGUUUAAGCCCAUCAAGGUGGCCAGCUGCUUUCUGAACAGGGACGACUCAAAGUCUCUUCUCCUGGCCCAAGUUGAGACCUGAAGGCUAAGUGAGAGUCGUUGGGGAUGAGGUGGGAGUCAGGUGCAGUGAUGGGAGAGGCUGUAGAGGACUCCGGGGCUGGGAGAUCAGCACAGGCAGACUUGGAAGCAGUGAAUGUUCUUCGGUGUGGCUGGGCCCUCCACAGCUAGGUCAGGAUGGGGAGAGCCCUGUCAGCCGGCAGAAGGGGGAUAGACUCAGAGAAGGCAGGGGAAAACCUGGAAGGGCUUGGCUGCGGGCACGAGGCGGGUCGGGUGCUGCGGAUUAGAAAGUUGGUUGAGAAGGACUCACACCCUCUUUCGCCCUGCCCUUGGCCACACAUUCAGUGAUGUUUAUCGGAACCCAGCAGCCACCCUGCCCUUUCCUCAGCAGUCCAAUCUCCCAGCUUUCCGCCGACUUUAAAUCACAUUCGCCCCAAACAAUAGGCCCAAGAACAAAACUCCUGUGACUGCCGCUCUCCGUCAAAAAGCGGUCACUGUGAGACCGUGUUUUCCGUGGAUUUUGCCAGAGUUUAGCGGCGCUUGUCAGUGAAAAGCAAGUCUGAGAGAUUGGGGAGAGCACGGGGGCCACUCCAGCGUCUCAGUUACUCUUCUGGCCGAGUGAAGACCCAGGAGACCUGCCCCACCAGCGCGGUGUAGAAAACUCACUUUUUCUUCACACACUUGACAGGCAGGGAGUACUUUGUAUGCUCAGAAAGUCCAUCUGCAGUCAUCAUCUGGAUUUUCGUUUCUAUUUGAUCCAGUCCAUGGAUUUUUUUUUUUUUUUUUUUUUUUUUUACCCCCGAUCAACUUUCCCAGAAGGCAGUGCUUUGCUCUGGGGAAUGGUUAGGUCAAAGUCGGAUAGCAGAGGAUUUGAAAAGUAGCCUCUCCACGUGCCCCUCCUGGCUGUGCCCUAGAUGAUGGUCCCUCAGCAGCGCUUCCUAGAAACCACUGAGACUGAAGUUAAACUACACCGUCCUCAGCUGCAGUGACCCUGAACUGGCCCUUUGUGCAAGGUCAUCCAUGAGACACCAAUGCCUCCGUGCCCUCAAUAGGUCAUUCACUCCCACUAAAUGCUUUUACAGUGGAAAUUCCCUGGUUAAGGUUCACAGGUAAAGAUGAAUAUUUUGUGUGUGUCACCCAUUUGUAUGGUUGUUCAAAAUCACAGGGCCAGCAGGACUGGAAUUUUUUCAUCUUACAUAUUUUCCCACCUUUAAAGUAUUAGUGAUAGCUCCCUCGUUUUGAGACUCGAGGUUUAAAACAUUUUUAUUCUGUGUGCCAUGAAUUCCACUCCUUUGAGCAUCUGGGCUUAAUGAAUCCUUAGCAUUUUUCUUUGGGGGCUUUGUUGGAAAUGAAGGAUACUCUCCACUACUUCUCUGGUUGGAAGAUAUGUGUUUUAUUCCCUUCUAAGUUAUCAGGCUAAAUCCUGUGACCUUUCUCCCUUGAAAAGCAGGCAGUGUUUCCAAAAUUUCUAACACAAUUCCUCGGGAAUGUGGAAUGGGUUUCCUUGUGGACAGUGUUGUUUAUGGGGUCUCUGUCUCCAUUCAUAGAAACCUGCAUGUCAGAGAGACAGCGUAUAUAUGAAAACAUAGGAUAAAGGUGCUAGAGAACCGAAAUGCUCUGGGUAGCAGCCCCCCAAACCUGACGGCUAAAAACAGCUCCCCUCGGCUGCAGCCCCAGCAGCAGCAAGUAAAGAUGCACUCAGUCACAAACCGACUUACUAGGGUCCUGUCUGGAGUCCAGAAGACAAGAGGAGACCUCUAAAAUUUGAUAAAAAGUGAUGAGUGUCUUGAGAGGGCCACUAAAGUGCCAUGGCAGUCCUUUCUGCUGGGACAAUCAGAGAAGGCUUCCUGGAGGUGUUACGGAACCAGGCUGGAACCAUGGUGGAAGAAGCAAGCGGCACUCGGAGAUCUUGGUGAAUUGGAGAUUUAUUUUACACCGCUGGGCUCAGAGGAGACUGUUUCUCCAAAGGACUGAGCCCAGAAUGCAAGUCGGGAGGGUAAUUUAUAGCCGACAACGUCCAUAUCUGUGGGGGGUUUUGCCCACACAGCAAACAAAGGAAGAAGAACCCAGAGGAGGGGUCUCUAAGCUGGAGACCAGAGUUUGUUUUAGCCCCGUCGGCCAUCUUUGGCAUACUUGACUUCUCCAACAGAGGAAGUGGCAUUUGCUCUGUUUCUUGAGUGAAGAAGGUGCCCUUUUAAAAAGCAGGAUCCCAGUCACUAACACAGGAAUGAGCAUUUUUAUGGACCUGUACCUUAAUUAGGGGAGAGCAUCGAAGUCAUUUUAAAUGGACUUAAUCUCAUCCUAAGCCUGGCCAACAUUCCAUUCCUAAGGGUUUACAUCAAGGAAGUCAUCCAAAACGGGGAAAAAGUUUUUCCCAUGCUGGUUUGAGAACAUGGAAAAAUGAGUUGAUUUUGGAGAUCAAUGACACUUUGGUGAUUUUCUUCUGCUAAUGAAUGGUAAUGUGUUGGAGGGGACAAUCCAAGCAGUGAUCAGGGUAGAGAAGACAUUACACAUAAGUAAAAGCCUCUCGCUUUGCCUUUCUUUUUUUCCCAUUAGGCCCUGAACACAUCUCCAUCACC